rfam:Candidatus Woesebacteria bacterium GWA1_42_12 gwa1_scaffold_3241, whole genome shotgun sequence.
CGGGGUGUAGUGGAUCGGUACCACGCCACGUUCGGGACGUGGAGAUACUGGGUUCAAUUCCCAGCACCCCGA